UUUACUGCUGUCGCAGCCCUUGCCGAUACAGAGUCUGAAAGACAAAGACAUGGAUGCAGCUCCCUUAGCUGUGGAGAAACAAUCCCACUGUGCUGUAGUGGAGGAGUUUCAUACUGCAUUUUGAGUAAGCCACCCCAUCAAUUAUCCAUGCCUGUACACUGUCUGGCAACAUCCCCUUUUACCUACCCUAAAUAAUAAUUUGAUAUUCAUAGGUAUUUGGGAUGGAAAGGCAUAAAACUAGCUGUGCUUUGCCCGAUUGUUUUAUGCUUAAUGCUACAAAAAAUAUUAAACAAGGGGUCGCGCUCUAAUACGAUCCGUGUCUUUUUCCGUCUAUCAUUCGGCACCAGAGACCUGCGUUUAGAAAGAAACCCCUCGCAUACACCCGAGGAACAUUUGAAGGAGGAAGGCCGGAAAAAAAGAAAAAGGGAAGUCUGACACGGAGGGCGCAGGGCUAAUGCGGAGCUGCGAGUCCGAGAUGCGCAGCACCCCAACACAGUUGCCUCGGCGUCUGUAGCAACGCGCUCCUGCUCGCGGGGUGACUGCUCGGCAGAGGCGGAGCAGCCUGGGGGGCUCUGCUGCGGGCCAAGGCACUCGCAUCCCGGCCGAGCCGGCCCUCGGCGGAGCGUCCGCCGCCGCGCGGGGCCUGCCCUGGCGCCGCGCCCAUGUGACCGGGGAGGCGGGCCUUGCGCCGCCGCCGCGACCCUGCGGGGAGCGGACACGACAACGAGGUCGCUGGCUUUUUCGGGUUUUGUUGAAAAUAUACGGAGCGCCGCACGUGAACGACGGGCCCUCGUCUGCGCCCCUCCUUCCGCGGGGGAGGAGCUGGCCCAGCCCGGAGCCCCGAGCGCGGACCGAGGGGCGGAGCACGUGGGGCCGGGCCGGGCCGCUUCAUCCAUCCCGGGCCAGCGCGCUGCCAGGAAGAAGAAUGGUAUAACUGCCCCCUGGGCUCCAGGUAAUAUUACUAGCUUUUGAAGCAAUGGAGUACACCUUAAUAUUGUUUCCACUUGCCUCCUAACUAAUGAAAGUGCUGCUGUAUAAGAAUAUAUAUGACAAGUGCUUGUGCUAAAGACGUUUCUUGGUCCUGAAAGUGCGUGUCCUCAGAUCAUAUUGCAAGUUUGACAUCUUGAGAAAUAAAUGGGAGUAUAAUGUAUGCCA
rnacentral:lncRNA from 1 species